rnacentral:rRNA from 1 species
GAUGAACGCUGGCUACAGGCUUAACACAUGCAAGUCGUGGGGAAACGGCAUUAUGUGCUUGCACAUUCUGGACGUCGACCGGCGCACGGGUGAGUAUCGCGUAUCCAACCUGCCCCUUACUUGGGGAUACCCCGUCGAAAGACGGCCUAAUACCCGAUGUGUUUCAUUGACGGCAUCCGAUAUGAAACAAAGGUUUUUCCGGUAAGGGAUGGGGAUGCGUCUGAUUAGCUUGUUGGCGGGGCAACGGCCCACCAAGGCGACGAUCAGUAGGGGUUCUGAGAGGAAGGUCCCCCACAUUGGGACUGAGAUACGGCCCAGACUCCUACGGGAGGCAGCAGGUAAGAAUAUUCCGCAAUGGGGGGAACCCUGACGGAGCGACGCCGCGUGAACGAAGAAGGCCGGAAGGUUGUAAAGUUCUUUUCUGUCCGAGGAAUAAGUGUAGGAGGAAAUGCCUGCAUGGUGACGGUAGGGCAGGAAUAAGCACCGGCUAAUUACGUGCCAGCAGCCGCGGUAACACGUAAGGUGCGAGCGUUGUUCGGAAUUAUUGGGCGUAAAGGGCAUGCAGGCGGGUCGCCAAGCUUGGUAAGAAAUACCGGGGCUCAACUCCGGAGCUAUAUUGAGAACUGGCGAGCUGGAGUUGCCGAAGGGUAUCCGGAAUUCCGCGUGAAGGGGUGAAAUCUGUAGAUAUGCGGAAGAACACCGAUGGCGAAGGCAGGAUACCGGCGGACGACUGACGCUGAGGUGCGAAGGUGCGGGGAGCAAACAGG